AAAUUGAAGAGUUUGAUCAUGGCUCAGAUUGAACGCUGGCGGCAGGCCUAACACAUGCAAGUCGAACGGUAACAGGAAGCAGCUUGCUGUUUUGCUGACGAGUGGCGGACGGGUGAGUAAUGUCUGGGAAACUGCCUGAUGGAGGGGGAUAACUACUGGAAACGGUGGCUAAUACCGCAUAACGUCGCAAGACCAAAGAGGGGGACCUUCGGGCCUCUUGCCAUCAGAUGUGCCCAGAUGGGAUUAGCUUGUUGGUGAGGUAACGGCUCACCAAGGCGACGAUCCCUAGCUGGUCUGAGAGGAUGACCAGCCACACUGGAACUGAGACACGGUCCAGACUCCUACGGGAGGCAGCAGUGGGGAAUAUUGCACAAUGGGCGCAAGCCUGAUGCAGCCAUGCCGCGUGUAUGAAGAAGGCCUUCGGGUUGUAAAGUACUUUCAGCGGGGAGGAAGGUGUUG
rnacentral:rRNA from 1 species